UUAAGUAAGAAUUUAAUUUUGGUUCCGACUGAACGUUAUUCAGUAGUUUUAAGACAUGCGAAUCUAUUAUUUCAGACAAUAUAAUAUAAAAAAUUAUAAAAUAUGAGAUAAGGUGUAAAGGUGAGUAUGGUAAAUAAGAUACCCUAUAGUCUUCGUAAAUCGGAGAUAUUAAACCGUUAGAAAAAAAAGUAAAUUAUACGCUUAAAAAUAAUUUAUAAUUAUUCUUGAAUUAUGAAAAUGAUUGUUUCUAAUAUUAAAAAAAAAUAUUAUAUAAUUGACUAUAAAAAGCAAGAUAUAAUUAAUAAUAUUAGGAAUAAAGGUUUAAGUUAAUAGUAGCUAUUAUACAAUAAAGGAAUUUUUCUGCUAUAGGAUUCUAUUUACUUUGAUUAGGAUAGUUGGUAGGGUAAAGGCCUCCCAAGUCUACGAUCAAAAGCCAAGCUUGAUAAAGCUAAUGGCCACAUUGGGCGUGAAAUCCCCCAAGUAGUAUUAUACUACCAGCAGUCAAGAAUAUUAGUCAAUGCUCGAAAGAGUGAACUAGCUAACUGAAUUCAUAAAUGUGUCAUUUAUGAUAAGGUAAGAGAAAAUAAUGAUAUUAUUUUACUAAAUUAGUGUCGUCUAAAUCUGGUGCCAGAAGACUCGGUAAGGCCAGAGACGCGAACGUUAGUCGUCAUAAUCAGGCGUAAAGGGUUUGUAGGCUGCUUUAAACAUUAAAAAUAAGCUAAAUUAAUUUAUAAUAAAUUAAAGCUAGAAUCUAAUAGAGGAUAAUCAGAACAAUACUAUAUCUAGUGCUAAAAUACGAAUAAAUAUGGUAGAGUACUAAAGGUGAAAACUAUUUAUCCAUUAAAGAUUGACGCUGAGAAACGAAGGAGAGGAUCGAAACAAGGAUUAGAUACCCUAUUAUCCCUCUCAGUCAACGAUGAAUGGUAGUUAUUAGUUUAUCUAAUUAUUUAAAUAUUAAAAAUAAUUAUUGAAUUAUAAAUUAGUAACGAUGUUAACACGAUAACCAUUCCGCCUUGUGAGUAAGACUGCAAAGUUGAAAACAAAAAAAUUAGUCGGUCUUGAAGCAAACGAAGUGAAGCAUGUUAUUUAAUACGAUAGUCCGCGUAAAAUCUUACCA
rnacentral:ncRNA from 1 species